UCUUCCCUUGUUUUCUUCUCUAGAGCUGAAGCUUUAGAAGCUUAGAUCUAUAAGAAAUCUAUCUCACGAUUAUUCUCUAGAAAUCUCUUGUGUAAGAAAUCUCUUGUAUUAGGAGUGACAUUUCAGUUUGUUCAUCAUUUUUAGAUCUGUAUUAGGGUUUCAGUAUGUUCAUCUGAAAGAGAAAAGACAAACCCUAACCCAGUAAAUCAAAUCUAUUUGCUCACCUUUCACCUCCCUAUUCGAGAAACCCAGUGGUGGCGGUGGCAUCUGAGGCAUGGUAUUCUACGAUGGAGUUGGGUUUUGAGUAGGUGGUUGGUCUUUUCAGCUGGUGGAGGUUCUGUACUAGCAAUUGUUGCAUCAUGAGCUGCAGGGGGUUGAGUAGAUUCUGAAGAGAAUGAAGAUUAAUCCAACAAAUUAAAAGAAGUGAAUGAUUAAGAUGAUGAAGAAGAUGAGAGUGGUGGAGAGUAAGAAGAUGAAGAUGAUGAGUAGAAGGAAAAUCAGCUUUAGUACCCUUUUAAUUUUGGUUUUCUUAGUAAUUGUGAGGAAUUUUCAAUUGUUUGAAUUGUGAUGAUUCACUGUUACUAGAGAUGUAACUGGUUAACAGUUGAGUAGAGGGACUAGAAUCACUCUCUUUGACUGUUUCAGUGCAUUGCCUGAUAUUAAGUUUUCGUGUCUUUGUAUUUUAAACUAUUUCUACAUUUAAAAUAUAUGUUAUUUUUGAUGUGCUUCUUUUAGGUGGGUGUCAUGAAGAAAGCUGUCGAAGCUGGAAAAACUAGAAGUGCAAACGGUACCCGCCAGGAGCUUAUGAGAGUCCCUAUGAAGAUAGACAUAUGCUCCUUAUGAAGUAAUCUUCCUACUUUUACAGGAGGGAUGUAUAUGAUUUGCACCAUGCAAUCUUGGGUCUUCUAUUUGCUGUACUUAUAACUGGAGUUUUAACGGAUGCAAUCAAAGAUGAUGUCGGUCGACCACGACCUGACUUCUUUUGGCGCUGCUUUCCUGA